rnacentral:rRNA from 1 species
UAAACGGCGAAACUGCGAAUGGCUCAUUAAAUCAGUUAUCGUAUAUUUGAUAGUACCUACUACAUGGAUAACCGUGGUAAUUCUAGAGCUAAUACAUGCUUAAAAUCCCGACUUCGGAAGGGAUGUAUUUAUUAGAUUAAAAACCAAUGCCCUUCGGGGCUCACUGGUGAUUCAUAAUAACUUCUCGAAUCGCAUGGCCUUGUGCCGGCGAUGGUUCAUUCAAAUUUCUGCCCUAUCAACUUUCGACGGCUGGGUAUUGGCCAGCCGUGGUUACAACGGGUAACGGAGGGUUAGGGCUUGACCCCGGAGAAGGAGCCUGAGAAACGGCUACUACAUCCAAGGAAGGCAGCAGGCGCGCAAAUUACCCAAUCCCGAUACGGGGAGGUAGUGACAAUAAAUACUGAUACAGGGCUCUUUUGGGUCUUGUAAUUGGAAUGAGUACAAUUUAAAUCCCUUAACGAGGAACAAUUGGAGGGCAAGUCUGGUGCCAGCAGCCGCGGUAAUUCCAGCUCCAAUAGCGUAUAUUAAAGUUGUUGCAGUUAAAAAGCUCGUAGUUGAACCUUGGGCCUGGCUGGCCGGUCUGCCUCACCGCAUGCACUGGUCCGGCCGGGUCUUUCCCUCUGGGGAUCCGCAUGCCCUUCAUUGGGUGUGUCGGGGAACCAGGACUUUUACUGUGAAAAAAUUAGAGUGUUCAAAGCAGGCCUAUGCUCGAAUACAUUAGCAUGGAAUAAUAGAAUAGGACGUGUGGUUCUAUUUUGUUGGUUUCUAGGACCGCCGUAAUGAUUAAUAGGGACAGUCGGGGGCAUCAGUAUUCAAUCGUCAGAGGUGAAAUUCUUGGAUCGAUUGAAGACUAACUACUGCGAAAGCAUUUGCCAAGGAUGUUUUCAUUAAUCAGGAACGAAAGUUAGGGGAUCGAAAACGAUCAGAUACCGUUGUAGUCUUAACCAUAAACUAUGCCGACUAGGGAUCGGACGAUUUAUUUCUUGACUCGUUCGGCACCUUACACGAAAGUAAAGUU